GGCCGGGAACUCGGACGUGUGUGGGAGGGAUGCGAAACUGUGCCGGCAGCCCCAGAAAAGAAUCAGGCUUUGUCCUCAUCUUUGCAUGCACCUGUCAUCCCAAACCCUUAACAAACAUUGUGUCAUCACCUUCCAAACCUCUCUGUGGAUUCGGCCCCGGGGGGCGGGGGCGGGGGCGGAGGGGGCGGGGAGGCGGCGCUCAGGGAGCGGCAUUCCGCGCAUUCCUGCCUCCUGACAGCUCCUGGUACCACGGCUGCGAGCCCGGGAUGUCCAAAAAUUCCAGCUGACUCAUCUGUGGAUUCAUAUUAUCCGAAACAAUGAUAGAGGCAUCCUAUGUGUUUCCUUAUGUCACUAGUGAACAUCGAUGAAGAUGGAAAAAUGAAACGGGCCUAAAAUGAAGCCCCUCUCUGGCAAAUGUGUCCAUAGAGCUUUGGCCGCCCCUCCUGCCAAGCAGCCGUCUCUGGAAAUGAGCAUUUGGAAGAUUAGCCCUGACCUAACAUCUGCCACCAAUCCUCCUCUUUUGCUGAGGAAGACUGGCCCUGAGCUAACAUCUGUGCCCAUUUUCCUCUGUUUUACAUGUGGGACGCCUGCCACAGCAUGGCUUGAUAAGCAGUGCAUAGGUCCACAGCCGGGGUUCUGAACCGAAGAACCUCAAGCGCUGAAGUAGAGCACAUGAACUUAACCACUUUGCCAGUGGGCCAGCCCUCAAUAUUUCUAAUUCUUGAUUAUAAAAUGUGAUUGCAGACCUUAGGGCAAAGCUGGUGUGUGCCUCCUACUCUCUCAUCCUGGCCCCACCUGGGCUUUGUUUGCUCUCAGACAAGUCCCUUAACCUCUUCGUAGGGGACCCUUCUCUCUGGAAACUUCCCUCCACUCCCAACCCCUCCCCUCAUGGCCGCAGAGUCAGGAGAAUGGGCCUCUGUGCGAUGCGAUUCCCACUCCUGCCCCCUCACCUGACUCAGCUGGGCCAUCGGACCAUCUCCCGUGAAGACCUGUGCCCGGGUCCAAGGGGCAGCCUGUUAGCCUCCUCAAGGGCCUGGGCCUGUGACUGUUGGCCUUGGACCCAUGGGCAGCCAGCAUCUUUGGCCAAGGGACUGGGUAUCAAAAAGAGCCAUUAUGAAGGGAGAGAAGAAUGAGUUGUAUGUAUGGGAAGAGCAGAAACAAGGAACCCUGGGUUUCUAAAGGCUUUGCAGUGUCUAACUCCAGUCCCUUUCCAAAAAUUGACUACAUGCCUUGGGUUCCAUGAGACACUCCUGCACAGUUAUAACAAAUUCUCCUCCUCUUCCUUUUUUUUUUUUUAACCUAAGCUAACCCAGAAUGGGUUGUACCACUUGCACUUGUAGAGUUAUAACUAAUAUACCCUGUAAAAUAUGAGUCCAAAACAGUUCACAGGAGUAUUAUAAGAAUAAAUUGAGAUAUUUGUAUGAAUAUGCCAUAGAAGUACUAAUGUGAAUUAUCUUACGGUAUUAAUAUUAUUAUUACUA
rnacentral:lncRNA from 1 species